AGAAUACCGAGGCGAUCGGGCGAACUAUGGUUAAGGAACUCGCAAAUUACCCCCGUAACUUCGGGAGAAGGGGGGCCACAGACUGUCAAACUCCAUGCGGGUGGCAGCGGUAGGUGGCCGCAGAGACCAGGGGGAAGCGACUGUUUACUAAAAACACAGGUCCGUGCGAAGUCGUAAGACGAUGUAUACGGACUGACGCCUGCCCGGUGCUGGAACGUUAAGGGGACCGGUUAGUCCGUAAGGGCGAGGCUGAGAACUUAAGCGCCAGUAAACGGCGGUGGUAACUAUAACCAUCCUAAGGUAGCGAAAUUCCUUGUCGGGUAAGUUCCGACCUGCACGAAUGGCGUAACGACUUCCCUACUGUCUCAACCAUAGGCCCGGCGAAAUUGCACUACGAGUAAAGAUGCUCGUUACGCGCGGAAGGACGGAAAGACCCCGGGACCUUCACUAUAGCUUGACAUUGGUACUCGAAUUGAAUUGUGUAGGAUAGGUGGGAGACUGUGAAGCUCGGACGCCAGUUCGGGUGGAGUCAAACUUGAAAUACCACUCUGUUGAAUUUGGGUAUCUAACUUCGGACCGUGAUCCGGUUCAGGGACAGUGUCUGGUGGGUAGUUUAACUGGGGCGGUUGCCUCCUAAAAUGUAACGGAGGCGCCCAAAGGUUCCCUCAGCCUGGUUGGCAAUCAGGUGUUGAGUGCAAGUGCACAAGGGAGCUUGACUGUGAGACUGACAGGUCGAGCAGGGACGAAAGUCGGGACUAGUGAUCCGGCACCUGCGAGUGGAAGCGGUGUCGCUCAACGGAUAAAAGGUACCCCGGGGAUAACAGGCUGAUCUUCCCCAAGAGUCCAUAUCGACGGGAUGGUUUGGCACCUCGAUGUCGGCUCGUCGCAUCCUGGGGCUGGAGUAGGUCCCAAGGGUUGGGCUGUUCGCCCAUUAAAGCGGCACGCGAGCUGGGUUUAGAACGUCGUGAGACAGUUCGGUCCCUAUCCUCCGCGCGCGCAGGAGACUUGAGAAGGGCUGUCCCUAGUACGAGAGGACCGGGACGGACGAACCUCUGGUGUGCCAGUUGUCAUGCCAAUGGCACAGCUGGUUAGCUACGUUCGGAAGGGAUAACCGCUGAAAGCAUCUAAGCGGGAAGCCUGCUUCAAGAUGAGGUCUCCCACCCCUUGAAGGUUAAGGCCCCCAGCUAGACCACUGGGUUGAUAGGCCAGAAGUGUAAGCCUGGUAACAGGUUCAGCCGACUGGUACUAAUAGGCCGAGGACUCA
rnacentral:rRNA from 1 species